rnacentral:rRNA from 1 species
UACGGAGGGUGCAAGCGUUGCUCGGAAUCAUUGGGCGUAAAGCGCGUGUAGGCGGCUUUGCAAGUCUGGUGUGAAAUCCCGGGGCUCAACCCCGGAAGUGCAUUGGAUACUGCUUAGCUAGAGGACGAGAGAGGAUGGUGGAAUUCCUGGUGUAGGGGUGAAAUCCGUAGAUAUCAGGAGGAACAUCAGUGGCGAAGGCGGCCAUCUGGCUCGUAUCUGACGCUGAGACGCGAAAGCGUGGGGAGCAAACAGG